rnacentral:rRNA from 1 species
UACGGAGGGUGCAAGCGUUAUCCGGAUUCACUGGGUUUAAAGGGUGCGUAGGAGGGCAGGUAAGUCAGUGGUGAAAUCUCCGGGCUCAACUCGGAAACUGCCGUUGAUACUAUCUGUCUUGAAUAUCGUGGAGGUGAGUGGAAUAUGUCAUGUAGCGGUGAAAUGCUUAGAUAUGACAUAGAACACCAAUUGCGAAGGCAGCUCACUACACGUAUAUUGACACUGAGGCACGAAAGCGUGGGGAUCAAACAGG